rnacentral:rRNA from 1 species
CCAGCUCCAAUAGCGUAUAUUAAAGUUGUUGCAGUUAAAAAGCUCGUAGUUGAAUUUCGAGACCGGUUUACUGGUCGUGCUUUUGUACGUACUGGUAUUAUUGGUUUCUCCUUUCUGACGAAUCUUAAUGCCAUUAAUUUGGUGUUUUGGGGAAUUUGGACUGUUACUUUGAAAAAAUUAGAGUGUUUAAAGCAAGCUAACGCUUGAAUACAUUAGCAUGGAAUAAUGAAAUAGGACGUUCGAUCCUAUUUUGUUGGUUUCUGGGAUUGACGUAAUGAUUAAUAGGGAUAGUUGGGGGCAUUAGUAUUCAAUUGUCAGAGGUGAAAUUCUUGGAUUUAUUGAAGACUAACUACUGCGAAAGCAUUUGCCAAGGAUGUUUUCAUUAAUCAAGAACGAAAGUUAGGGGAUCGAAGACGAUCAGAUACCGUCGUAGUCUUAACCAUAAACUAUGCCGACUAGGGAUCGGACGGUGGUUUUUUUA